AGGCAAUAUGGUGGUCACCUAAAGAACAACGGACCCACUAUAUAAGCAGUGAGAAGCCUCAUUUCCAGUCUUUCCAGGCUUAACUCUAGUCGAAGUGGCUCGUUAUUUUUUUGGUGGGACUGAGGCGUAGAUAGCACGUGUUUGAAAACUAGAGCGGGUUACAGAGUGAGGCCGGUCCAGUUUUGUGUGAUUCAAAAGGUCUCCUAGGUUGCACUGUCGUUGUUAACCACACGUACAGGGUCCUGAGCGGAUCAGCACGUGGCGAAGCGAUGAAGCUGCACGAGGCUUGUUGGAGUGCCAACAAAUGGAAGGAUCUGCACAAAAAGAGUAUGGGUGGUUUUGCUCUCUUAGGGUUUGCAUUGGGGUGAACAUGGAGUUGUCUCCCAACGACUAAACAUGGUCUGAAAGGCCGUUACAGCCCUGCAAUGGCUCGACAUCCGCUCAGACUGUCCCCUGUUUUGGGGUUGUCUGAUAUCGCAGAAGGCGUGUCUUGUUGCGAUCUGACCAAUGAUGGCUAAUCAUGAGUUAAAUGAAGGUUCAGUGCCCAGUAGAUCCAGGCCUGUUUAUGUUGGAAGCACACCCCAGACAUCACCUGGUGCCUAGCCAUGAAAACAGUCAUGGGAAUGAGCACAGCUUCUGGACUGAUGUUUUGGUUUGAAGGGGAACGUGUGCACAUGCUCAGAUCCUGCUGUGACUAAAGAUUAAACUUCCUGAAAACUCUCAUUCCAUUUUAUUGUCUUCAACUUUGAAACUUGUACAUCUUUUAAUGAAUUAAUUUUUAAAGUGUGAAAUAAAAGCUGCAUGACUUAACAA